ensembl:lincRNA Gm15889 predicted gene 15889
AGUCUAAUCAGACAGCCCUACCUACUACUCCACUACACCACUACAGUCCAGUCCCCUGCGGGAGAGAGGCAGUGGGGCCCAGGGAUCUUUCAGCAUUUGCUAUGUGGCAGCUGUUACUUUGUUUUCUUCUCUUGGCUUGAAAGGCUGGGAACUCAGAGCCAACGGAACAGCAACAACAACAAUACCGAGUUUCCACAGAGUCCCUGUGGACCCAGCACCUGGCCAGUGCUCAAGAGCGCCCUAGCACCAAUGGUUUCAUCACCCUUUAAAAGAAGUUCUGGACGGAUACCAUCUAAAACUGUGGAUUUCUCAUGGAAAGUCUCAGCGAUGACUUUCGUCCCUUGAUCCACUUGAAGUCCUGUCUCUGAGGGGCACAGAAGCCAACCAG